UACGUAGGGUGCGAGCGUUGUCCGGAUUUAUUGGGCGUAAAGGGCUCGUAGGUGGUUGAUCGCGUCGGAAGUGAAAUCUUGGGGCUUAACCCUGAGCGUGCUUUCGAUACGGGUUGACUUGAGGAAGGUAGGGGAGAAUGGAAUUCCUGGUGGAGCGGUGGAAUGCGCAGAUAUCAGGAGGAACACCAGUGGCGAAGGCGGUUCUCUGGACCUUUCCUGACGCUGAGGAGCGAAAGCGUGGGGAGCGAACAG
rnacentral:rRNA from 1 species